GGGGCAACCUGGCGGCGAGCGGCGAACGGGUGAGUAAUGCAUCGGAACAUGUCCAUUCGUGGGGGAUAGCCCGGCGAAAGCCGGAUUAAUACCGCAUACGCCCGAGAGGGGAAAGCCGGGGACCGCAAGGCCUGGCGCGAAUGGGUUGGCCGAUGCCCGAUUAGCUAGUUGGUGAGGUAAAGGCUCACCAAGGCGAUGAUCGGUAGCUGGUCUGAGAGGAUGAUCAGCCACACUGGGACUGAGACACGGCCCAGACUCCUACGGGAGGCAGCAGUGGGGAAUUUUGGACAAUGGGGGCAACCCUGAUCCAGCCAUUCCGCGUGAGUGAAGAAGGCCUUCGGGUUGUAAAGCUCUUUUGUCCGGAACGAAACGGUUUGCGUGAAUAGCGCCGACUACUGACGGUACCGGAAGAAUAAGCACCGGCUAACCACGUGCCAGCAGCCGCGGUAAUACGUAGGGUGCGAGCGUUAAUCGGAAUUACUGGGCGUAAAGCGUGCGCAGGCGGUUUUGUAAGCCAGAUGUGAAAGCCCCGGGCUUAACCUGGGAAUGGCAUUUGGGACUGCAAGGCUGGAGUGUGGCAGAGGAGACUGGAAUUCCUGGUGUAGCAGUGAAAUGCGUAGAUAUCAGGAGGAAUACCGAUGGCGAAGGCAGGUCUCUGGGCUGACACUGACGCUCAUGCACGAAAGCGUGGGGAGCAAACAGGAUUAGAUACCCUGGUAGUCCACGCCCUAAACGAUGUCGACUGGUUGUUGGGGGUUUGACACUCUCAGUAACGAAGCUAACGCGUGAAGUCGACCGCCUGGGGAGUAC
rnacentral:rRNA from 1 species